CUCUUACAGGUUUCAUAAUGUAUUUUGGAUUUCAGGUUAUGGGAUGUUUAACCUGAACUUCAGACUACAUUUUUAAAUGUGUAAUGG
ensembl:miRNA aca-mir-5469 aca-mir-5469